AGUGAACGCUGGCGGUAGGCCUAACACAUGCAAGUCGAACGGCAGCACAGUAAGAGCUUGCUCUUACGGGUGGCGAGUGGCGGACGGGUGAGGAAUACAUCGGAAUCUACUUUUUCGUGGGGGAUAACGUAGGGAAACUUACGCUAAUACCGCAUACGACCUACGGGUGAAAGCAGGGGAUCUUCGGACCUUGCGCGAUUGAAUGAGCCGAUGCCGGAUUAGCUAGUUGGCGGGGUAAAGGCCCACCAAGGCGACGAUCCGUAGCUGGUCUGAGAGGAGGAUGAGCCACACUGGAACUGAGACGCGGUCCAGAGUCCUACGGGAGGCAGCAGUGGGGAAUAUUGGACAAUGGGGGGAAGCCUGAUCCAGCCGUACCGCGUGGGUGAAGAAGGGCUUCGGGUUGUAUAGCCGUUUUGUUGGGGAAGAAAAGCAGCAGGUUAAUACCCCGCUGUUCUGACGGUACCCAAAGAAUAAGCACCGGCUAACUUCGUG
rnacentral:rRNA from 1 species